GAAGCCUCAGUGGCCAGAGAGCCAUGGGCAAGGGGCUGAGCAGAGGGGGGUCCAGUGGCAGUUCCUUAAAAAUGCCCCUGUAGCAUCAAGGGGUGCCAGACCCAAGUGAACUUAGUUGAGAAGCAGUAACACCCACAACCACACCCCAAAUAGACUGGGCCUCCACCUCCGAAGAGUCAUCCUUGGACCAGACACCAGUCAAGGCAAGAGUGAUGGCUGGUAGCAUUCCCCUUACACUGGAGAAGAGCCCUAGAGAGGAAUCUUCCUGAGGAGCCGAGAAGGGAUGGCAAUGGCUGCCCAGCUCCCAGAACUCGUCCCCUCCUCUCACCCCUCCCAGGAGCUUCCCAACGGACAGAAGGCAGAGAUCCCCUUGCCUGGAGACAUUUUCUGAAGACGUGGGAAAAGGAGAAAAGGCGGGCUACUCCCUGGCAGCAGGCCUCCAAGCUGCUGAGAGCCAGGAUCGAGAGCGCCAGGUAAGAUCUGGAGUCUACCAGGUUCGGCCACCUCUUUAGCAGAAUGGAGAACCAAACCCGGGAGAUGAAGGGGCCCAGUGAGAAAUAUCCCUGCUCUCUGGGGAUAGAGCUUGACUGUCCAAGCCUCUCUCAUCUUCUUCACCUUCUUGGGGGUAAAUGAAAGGCUCCUUCGAAUACCUCUUCCCAGCGAGGCUACAUUUGAGGGGAGCCAGGGGUCCGGAUAAGCUCUGCCUGCCAGCCCAGUCCAUGUAUGCUCCUGGGUCCCGAGAGAAAGGGCACACCUUCCCAUCCCAGUCCCCACCCCACCCCACCCCUUCCAGGAGGCCUUUCGAGCCACUCAAGGGGUGGGGGAAGGAACCUUCCCGGCCACAAGCUCUUGGCAGUCUUUCCACAGGCUCUCUGGAGUUCCGAUGAGUCUGCCCCCAUGCCCUCCUCUGGUGCUUUCCUUCCCACCCACCCCCCAACUGUCUAUGCCCUACAAGGCUUUAGCCAGGAGUGCAGGCAGGGGCAUAGACUCCCUAAGAACAUAGAGACGGUGCUGGGUCUGCUGACUGAGCUGUGCCACACCCAGAGGACUUAGAAACUGAGAUAUCAGGCAGGCGUGGAGUUAAGGUGAGGGACUAGGCCCGGCUGCUGAGUUAGGAAGCCCGGGCAUGGUACCUUGCACUCCUACCCCCAGGAAAAUUCUAUUUCCUUGGUGCCUUGGAGACCUAUGGGGAUAUGUGCAUUUACAUGUUCACCAGCUUGAUUAUUCUAGAAUCAUAGGGGCAGAACUAGACAGUCUUUAUCCAAGGAUAGGGUAAGGAAGAUGAGGCAAAGACCUUUCCUGGCUGAACAGCUCCCUCUCCAUACUGUCUCUUUUAUGUCUCCUUUUUUUUUUUUUUUUUUUUUCCUGAGACAGGGUUUCUCUGUGUAGCCCUGGCUGCUCACUCUGUAGACUAGGCUGGCUUCGAACUCAGAAAUCCACCUGCCUCUGCCUCCCAAGUGCUGGGAUUAAAGGCGUGCACCACCACCGCCCAGCUCAUUUAUGUCUCCUUAAGAAAGAUGGGCCACCUUCUGUCUGGUUCUUGUGUUCCACUGAGGGGAUGUAAAAAUCUUUGCCAUGGUCUCCUUUAUCCCAAGGUGGGAUGGCAGCAGCUCUCACUUCCCCUUUCUGAGUCGCUGUCUGAUAAUCUAGAAUGCUCCAUCCCCAUUCCUGAUCCUCCAUCCAAGGUGAUCAUUUCCGGCCGCACAACCACAGAAGGUAGAACAGGCUUUGCCAUCUGCCGUACUGCCCCAGACCUAGUCAUUGGAUGUCCUGUUUUUUUUUUUUUUUUUUACUUUUAUCUGCAAUUUUAUUGUAAAGAGUAAGGUGAAUCCUUUUACGUACCUAAGCUAGGAUACUUGUUAUAAAUGGAAAGCUAACGCCAUCCAGAGUUUUAAACAAUAACAAUGAUGGAGAUGCAGCAUCAGUACCAUGUCGUCACCUGCUUCUGUGGCUUGUCAGGCGCCGACCUGAAGUCUCUUCCUGAAAUAAGCAGGCCUCAGAAAGAAGUCAGAGGCAGAACAGCCAGGCUUUCCUCCCCAUACACAGAACCCCAGGCCAACAGGCAUUGUGGCUAAUGCCUGUCAUCUCAGAAUUCCAGAAGUAGAGGCAGGGGGAUUGGCAGUUCUACACACUGAAUGAGUUUAGGGCUAGCCUAGUCUACAUGUUUCUCUGUUUCUAAAAAAGAAAGAAGGACGAAACAAGGAAAAUAAGGGGGAGGGGAGGGCAGACAAAGAGGCAGGGGAUGACCCAAAUGGUGUUCCACCAAAUGACUCCCAGAGAUCACCCACUCUCUCUGCUGCCCCCAGAAAGCAAAAGCAGUGUAGGCAAAAAGGCUCUGGGCACAGCUGACCCUGGGGAAGGCUGCUAGCAACCCAGCUAGGCCCUGUCCACCACUCCUAGCUACUUACUGAAAUGUUCCCUGGUCAGCUUCAGUGCUACCUCUUCCAGGGUCCAUGGGAGCUUCAGGGAAUGUCGUGGGGGAAGACUAAGAUGUUCUGACUCCAAGAGAGUCCUGUGUUCAGAUCUCCUGGUAAGAGGGCUUAUGGAAAGUUCCUGAGGAUUCCAGACAGAGGGAAGUUGGUUAUUGGCUGGGGAUGCCUGAGGGCAGAAAUUACCUAGCCUUAGCAACAAAUCAGAGAAGCUUUCUCACUGCCCCUGCACCCUACCCCCAACUUGGAGAUGCUAGAUUCCCAUUGGGAGACCUAGGAGCUGUGGGGUUUCUAAAAAUGGAGGUAUACAUUUUUUUUCUGUUCUCUCUCAGCCCUGAGGAAAGGCUGCCUACCCUCUUCAGAAAGCCCUGAAGGUAUGUAUCAUCCAGCACCAAGGCCACCACAGUAACCACAAAGCAAAGGUUGUCUGGGGACCUUAGGGUCUUAACAAGAGCAGGAUAAGUGGGUGGUUGAGCCAUCUGCUCAAGCAGUGUUCAGCACGGCCUUGAUCCGGGAGCUGAGGGAAGCCAGCCGGCUCUCUUCCCUUAUGAAGGAAAGUGCCCACAGUUGAAAACUGUACCUCAAGAGCUAGGAAGAAACAGAAUUCAAAGGAUGGGCAAGCCAAUGAAGGAGAUGUCCUGGGAUCUAAAGAAAUAAGGGAUAGGUCCUCACUAGCAGUCAUUUGUCCAGUGUGCAUACAGAGAUGGACAGAUGGGGGACAAAUACGGGAAAUAUGGGCUGAGCAGGCACAGAGAGGCUAUCUAAUAUCUGCGAGGCCCUGGGUUCCAUCUUUAGCACUGAAAAAAAAAAAAAAAUUAACUGCGUGCUUAAAAUGGACGGGGUCUAUCUCAAGAAAGCUAACUUAAAAAGACAAAGGAUGGCCGGGCGGUGGUGGCGCACGCCUUUAGUCCCAGCACUUGGGAGGCAGAGGCAG